rnacentral:rRNA from 1 species
UAUUGCACAAUGGGGGAAACCCUGAUGCAGCGACGACGCGUGCGUGAAGAAGUAUCUCGGUANGUAAAGCUCUAUCAGCAGGGAANNNNNNNANGGUACCUGAUUAAGAAGCCCCGGCUAACUACGUGCCNNNCNACGCGGUAAUACGUAGGGGGCAAGCGUUAUCCGGAUUUACUGGGUGUAAAGGGAGCGUAGACGGCAGCACAAGUCUGGAGUGAAAUGCCGGGGCUUAACCCCGGAACUGCUUUGGAAACUGUGCAGCUAGAGUGCAGGAGAGGUAAGUGGAAUUCCUAGUGUAGCGGUGAAAUGCGUAGAUAUUAGGAGGAACACCAGUGGCGAAGGCGGCUUACUGGACUGUAACUGACGUUGAGGCUCGAAAGCGUGGGGAGCAAACAGG